AAUAAAUCCUGGGUUUUCGUAUCCAACGUUUGACCAUCCAUUUUAUUUAAAAAAAUUAUAAAAAUAAUUAAAAAGACAAGCCACGCAUAAAGUAUUAAUCAUGUUUUAUCAUCUAACAAAAAUAAAAAUACUAACUAUAAAAAAAUUUCAUAUAAGACAGACAAUCAAACGUUGGACACGGAAACCCAGGGUUUAUUUUUUA
rfam:Oryza barthii chromosome 1, whole genome shotgun sequence.